rnacentral:rRNA from 1 species
AUUGAACGCUGGCGGCAUGCCUUACACAUGCAAGUCGAACGGCAGCACGGGAGCAAUCCUGGUGGCGAGUGGCGAACGGGUGAGUAAUAUAUCGGAACGUGCCCGGUCGUGGGGGAUAACGUAGCGAAAGCUACGCUAAUACCGCAUACGAUCUACGGAUGAAAGCGGGGGAUCGCAAGACCUCGCGCGAUUGGAGCGGCCGAUAUCAGAUUAGGUAGUCGGUGAGGUAAAGGCUCACCAAGCCGACGAUCUGUAGCUGGUCUGAGAGGACGACCAGCCAUACUGGGACUGAGACACGGCCCAGACUCCUACGGGAGGCAGCAGUGGGGAAUUUUGGACGAAUGGGCGCAAGCCUGAUCCAGCCAUUCCGCGUGCAGGACGAAGGCCUUC